rnacentral:rRNA from 1 species
GAUGAACGCUGGCGGCGUGCUUAACACAUGCAAGUCGAACGAGGUCCAACCAUCGGGUGAAGACCUAUUGGCGAACGGGUGAGUAACACGUGGGCAAUCUGCCCUCCACUCUGGGAUAACCCCCGGAAACGGGAGCUAAUACCGGAUACUUCGGAAUGGUCGCAUGGCCGAUCCGAGAAAGCUCCGGCGGUGGAGGAUGAGCCCGCGGCCCAUUAGCUUGUUGGCGGGGUAAUGGCCCACCAAGGCGACGAUGGGUAGCCGAGCUGAGAGGCUGAUCGGCCACACUGGGACUGAGACACGGCCCAGACUCCUACGGGAGGCAGCAGUGGGGAAGCUUGCGCAAUGGGCGAAAGCCUGACGCAGCAACGCCGCGUGCGGGAUGAAGGCUCUCGGGUCGUAAACCGCUUUCAGUAGGGACGAAACUGACUGUACCUACAGAAGAAGCCCCGGCUAAAUACGUGCCAGCCGCCGCGGUAACAC